rnacentral:rRNA from 1 species
CAGCAGUAGCCGCGGGAAUACAGAGGGUGCGAGCGUUAAUCGGAUUUACUGGGCGUAAAGCGUGCGUAGGCGGCUUCUUAAGUCGGAUGUGAAAUCCCUGAGCUUAACUUAGGAAUUGCAUUCGAUACUGGGAAGCUAGAGUAUGGGAGAGGAUGGUAGAAUUCCAGGUGUAGCGGUGAAAUGCGUAGAGAUCUGGAGGAAUACCGAUGGCGAAGGCAGCCAUCUGGCCUAAUACUGACGCUGAGGUACGAAAGCAUGGGGAGCAAACAGGAUUAGAGACCCCCGUAGUCCCUGUCUCUUAUAC